UUCUUGAAAUGCAUUGAGGCACAGUAGUUGAUUAGACAUAUGGGCCAAAGGACUGUUUCGGUGUGGGCAGCGCGAGUGGUACCAAAUCGAGGCAAACUCUGAAUACUAGAUAUGUCCCAGAAAUAAUAGGGGUCAAGGUCGGCCAAUGAGACAAUGGGGGAUAAGCUUCAUCGUUGAGAGGGAAACAACCCGGAUCACCAGCUAUGGCACCUAAAUGACUGCUCAGUGAUAAAGGAGGUGGGGUGCAAACACAGCCAGGAAGUUUGCCUAGAAGCAGCCACCCUUUAAAGAGUGCGUAAUAGCUCACUGAUCGAGCGCCCUUGUGCUGAAGAAGAACGGGGCUAAGAGAUCUGCCAAAGCUGUGGAUGUCAAAAUGCAUCGGUAGGGGA
rnacentral:ncRNA from 1 species